rnacentral:rRNA from 1 species
GACAACCAAUGAAAUUUCUAGAGAAAAACACAUUCCUCAAGGAACAAAAAAAAAGGUGUGGCAUGGCGUUGUUCAGUUCGUGCCUUGAGAUGUGGGGUUAAGUCCGCUAACGAGCGCAACCCUUGUCUUUAGUUCCCACCAGGUAAGGUGGGGAAUUUUAACAAGACGCCCGGUGACAAACCGGAGGAAGGGGGGGAGGACGUCAA